ACGGUUACUUUCUAUCAACUGUUUUUGGCGAUCGAGUUUACUCUUCUCCUAGACCUUUUUUAUAGUGCCUUGCCUUCGCUCUACCAAAAUCAGAUUAUAGAAAAUUUGAUGCUAUUUGUUUUCGUAAUCCUCCAUUAUAUUCAUAUAAUAGUCUAAGAAAAGGUAUCCAUCGAGAUUUAAGGAAAAUUCUUCGACAACAGAUAUACAACAAAAAUAACACAUUAAUUUGAAAUUUCGUUUAACAUAGAUUUGUACACCACUCAACAAAAAAAAAACAAAAAAUAAUAAUUAAGAGAAAUCUUUAUCUUCAAACUCUAAAUCAUGGAAAUGAAAGGGAAAAAAAAACCCUUCCCUUUCAAGGAAAAAAUAAAUAGAGCUGCUAAUUCCAAUUGUAGCUGACUCUAUGUAAUUGCUCUACACACUUAUGAAAAAAACCUUAAUUAUACACAACUAGGCUGCGGACGGGGCGGUCAUGAAGCGGAAAGCUCCGGCCUCAGCCAACGCCGCGAGGAAUCGAUCCCAUUUCGAUUGUUUUGCCGCUUCAUCUCUAGCAACGAUGUUCUUGUAGUCCAAGGACUCGUCAUCGUAGAUAUCCCACCACUUCUUCACCAGCAUCUUGAUGUCGUCCCGGUCCAUGUUCUCUUCCUCACCUGUGUACCGCCACGGCUUCGACCCCGCAGCACAAUAAUGAACGACCUUCACCUUGUCCAGCUCGACGUUCUCCAGGUGACGCCACAACAUCGCAAGCACGAGGUUGUACACAUUGGGAAUCGGUUUGUAGAUGUCCUUGAAGUACGUGUUCA